CCGUCCCCCGGGCGGCCCGGUGCGCGCCGGGAGUUGGAGUUCCGCGGGUGUGGACCCGUCGCGGUCCCCCGCCCUCCUUCCCGGGCGGGUGUCCCGGGCGCCGACGCCGAGGAAGAGCGCAGCGCGCCGGGCCGGGCGCCUGCGCAGACGGCCGGAGCCGGCGAGAAGCUGCGGUGCGCCGCGGAGAAUGUUUUCAGAAGACCAUGCAGUCUUCUCGAGUCAUGAAGAACGGGGCGUGUUGUCCCGGGGUUCUGCAGUGAAGCUGACCCAGUGAGAAACAGCGAAGUCUGGCUGGAAUACCAGCGGUGGUCAUGGGACGCUGAAACAAAGCUCUGGGCCCGUGGUGUCGGCUUUCCUGCUGCUUCUGUGUCCCACGCAUACACGUAGGUCACCUCGGAAGAACACGGUCUCCAGUUUAUGGCACUUCUCACUGUGGCCAAAGGAGUGCCGUCUGCUGCGUAACGCAGGAUGAGGGGAAACUAGACGUGGCUGCAGGCGACUUGUUAUCGAACCCAGACCUUUCCUCAGGGAGCCCAUGAGAAGCACGGUGGACAAGAAGAAGCUGGAGCAGCUGUACGACAGCUACAGAGACCCACAAGAUGAAAAUAAAAUUGGAAUUGACGGGAUUCAACAGUUUUGUGAUGACUUAAACCUGGAUCCUGCCAGCGUCAGCGUUUUGGUUAUAGCAUGGAAAUUCAGGGCAGCGACGCAAUGUGAAUUUAGCAAAAAGGAAUUUGUAGAUGGCAUGACAGAGCUGGGUGGGGAGAGAAGAGUCUUUUCAGCAGCUGACACCGAAAUAACUGGGUGUGACAGCACGGAGAAGCUGAGAGCCCUUCUGCCAAGACUGGAGCAGGAACUGAAGGACACGGUGAAGUUUAAGGAUUUUUAUCAGUUUACCUUUACCUUCGCUAAGAACCCCGGGCAGAAGGGUUUAGAUUUAGAAAUGGCUGUUGCAUACUGGAAUUUAGUAUUAUCUGGAAGGUUUAAAUUUUUAGAUCUUUGGAAUACCUUCUUACUGGAGCAUCACAAAAGAUCAAUCCCAAGGGACACUUGGAACCUUCUGCUAGAUUUUGGAAAUAUGAUUGCAGAUGAUAUGUCUAACUAUGACGAAGAAGGUACGGGAAGUCCUGGUGCUUCAGAUGGUGGCCAGAAACGCUGACGCGCAGGCUGCCUCUCUCUGCCCCGGGGCGCAGGACGGUGCUGACCAGCUCCAGCCGACUGCGGGCCGCCCCCUCAGGGCAGUGGGGGAGCAUGGCCUGUUCUCAUAGAUGAUUUCGUGGAGUACGCGCGGCCGGUCGUCAUGGGCACUAAGCGCAGCCCUUUCUAGGCAGAAAAGUAAGAUGCCGAGAGGAAGGGCCUCCUGCAAGGGGAUGCUCAGUCGGUCACUGUGCCCCUGUCGCUGGCCCUGGCAGUCGCCCUCGGCCAGCCGGGCGCUGGAAUGACCUCCCCCUGCUGCAGAAAGGGCUGAGUUGGACGCCGGAAGGAGCUCCUCAGAAGACACUGCUUCGGGAUGCCUGGGGGUGGCUAUUACUUUAGAUUUCUGCUUGAUUUUUAUUAUACUUGUGACAAAGUAACGCAGAGCAUGCUGUUUAAUUCAUGAUGUACGGUGAUUGCCAGCAGUGACCACAGCUCCUGCCGGGGCGCCUUGUAAUUCCGCUUAAAAAACAGUAUUUGUGUCCUCGGCAGGACGCUGUGUUUGUCUGCAAGUCAAAGCUGGUAUCCUUGUGCCCUACAGAACAUCUGACGCGGAUUCGAACAUUUGAUAAACUUGUGCCAGGAAUUCGAGGUUUCUAUUUUCUGAAUUAUCAAAUACCUAGAUUUAUUAGAUCUAUUUUUAUUUUAAUUCCCUGUUGAUGUUCACGUGAAAGUCAUUCCGUGGUUCUCGGUGGAGGCGGUUUGCGAGGUGAUGGCACGUGUGGGCUGUGACCCCGGGGGCGUUAUUGCAAACUGGUGACAAGUCGCGGGUCUUUUCCUUCCAAUGUCAUUUGGAUGAGCUUCCUAAAAAAUUUUGUAAAGUAUGUUUUUUUAAAAAAUGUAUUUUAUUACAUUUAAAAGGACAUUUUUCCAUGCAAAGUAUUUCUUUUACAAGCAAAGGGUUACAGAUUUAAAAGCCAUGUGAGUUGGUUCCUUCCAGCGUCUGAGAGGCCCGUCGCCCGCCCUCCGGCUGUGUGCAUGGUUUCAUACAUCUCGUUGCCCGAAACACCCACGGGAAAACCUCCACCUCGUUUCCACCUGAAGCCCAUGCUCGUCACGUUGCUGUCGGAUUCUUCCAGGGUUUGCUAGCCUCAGAGGACCAUCCAGCGAGGCCCAGAACCUGCCCUCCGAGCAUGGGAGGCAAGUGUUCUUCACCUGCGAUGCCACCUGCUUUCCGUCUGGAAAAAGCUGCGUGUUCUAAAAAGCACCGUGUGGACCCUACCUCAUGCAUGAAAAGAUCUUCAUGUCACAGGUGUGCCUGCUGCCGGCCCGCAGCCCUGUGUACGAGACAGACGAGUUGGGGUCACUUCACGGGAGAGAGGAAGCUCACUUUGGAUUUUCUGUACAUGGACAGUGUGCCUGAAAUGUGUGCUUGAGUUGACUUUCACAAACGUGGUUCUGAGUUUCCGGAAGCAUCCGUGCCCAAUGGGGGGGUUUUUGCAUACUUGCUGUGUGUGAACUAUGUAUGCUUUUGGAAAGGAGUCUUUCAAAGAGACAGCAGGCUGUGGAGGGCAGGAAAGGGGGCCUGAGGCUGGGACACCACCAUCGGGGCUGGGGCGGCCCCAGCCCACUCUCCUGGGCCUGCGCUUCCACGGCAGCAAAGGGGCAAACAAGGCUGUCUCCGCCUGCGAGCCUGGGGUUCUAAGAGAGCGCUUACUUUGUAGAAUAAAAACCUCCACAAUUUUAACACAUCCUUCGAGGCCUCGUGGCUUCCUGCCAUGGAAGUGUUCUGCUCAGACAAGGCUGCGGAGCUCGGGUAAUCUCCCACAAAUCCUGGAGGUCUGUAGCACCUGUUCGUUCUUGAGAUUCAGAGUUACAGCAUGGGAGGCUCCGUGCAGCUGUUUAUCAAUAGAUAACAGAACCUUAGUGGUUGGACAAAGGCUCUUCAAAAAACCGUGGGUUUCUUUUUCUUCUCUUCUGUAUAUUUAAGGCAUGCAUGCUAUGAAAGUGCUAAGAGCUUCGGAGACAUUAAAAUAAAUUAUUUUCUCUGG